rnacentral:rRNA from 1 species
UACGUAGGGGGCAAGCGUUGUCCGGAAUCAUUGGGCGUAAAGAGCGCGUAGGCGGUCCGGUAAGUCCGCUCUGAAAGUCCGGGGCUCAACCCCGGGAGGCGGGCGGAUACUGUCGGGCUAGAGUCCGGAAGGGGCGAGUGGAAUUCCUGGUGUAGCGGUGAAAUGCGCAGAUAUCAGGAGGAACACCAGUGGCGAAGGCAGCUCGCUGGGACGGUACUGACGCUGAGGCGCGAAAGCGUGGGGAGCAAACAGG